rnacentral:rRNA from 1 species
UAAUACGGAGGAUCCAAGCGUUAUCCGGAUUUAUUGGGUUUAAAGGGUGCGCAGGCGGAAGAUUAAGUCGGCGGUGAAAUUUUGCAGCUCAACUGUAAAAGUGCCAUCGAUACUGGUUUUCUUGAGUGUGGAUGAAGUAGGCGGAAUUUGUGGUGUAGCGGUGAAAUGCAUAGAUAUCACGAGGAACUCCGAUUGCGCAGGCAGCUUACUAGGCCAUAACUGACGCUCAGGCACGAAGGCGUGGGGAUCAAACAGG